GACAGAGGGGGCAAGCGUUGCUCGGAAUUACUGGGCGUAAAGGGCGCGUAGGCGGGAUGGCAAGUCGGUCGUGAAAUCCCUCGGCUCAACUGAGGAUCGUCGAUCGAUACUGCCGUUCUUGAGGAUUGCAGAGGAGACUGGAAUUCCCGGUGUAGCGGUGAAAUGUGUAGAGAUCGGGAGGAACACCAGUGGCGAAGGCGGCGAUCUGGGAAGAUACUGACGCUGAGGUGCGAAAGCGUGGGGAGCAAACAGG
rnacentral:rRNA from 1 species